ACAAGACGUAGCUUAUCCUCAAAGCAUCCGACUUACACUCGGAAGAUUUCACAUUAUAUGAACGUUUUGA
rnacentral:tRNA from 1 species